rnacentral:ncRNA from 1 species
UUGUUGUCUGGAGAAGCGUCCUCAGCGGCGGACCGGGCCCAAGUCCCCUGGAAAGGGGCGCCGGAGAGGGUGAGAGCCCCGUCGUGCCCGGACCCUGUCGCACCAUGAGGUGCUGUCUACGAGUCGGGUUGUUUGGGAAUGCAGCCCUAAUCGGGCGGUAAAUUCCGUCCAAGGCUAAAUACGGGCGAGAGACCGAUAGCGAACAAGUACCGCGAGG